UAUGCUAUAUGUGGUAAGUUAAGUGUUAUAUGUGCUAUGUAUGAUAUGUGGGCCGGAAGGCAAUAUGUUAUGGGCCGGAAGGCGAUUAUGUUAUGGGCCGGAAGGCGUUGUAAUGAGGACCGGAAGGUCAGGGCCUGGAAAGGCGUAUGUGCGUAAGUGUAUAUUGGGGAACUCACUAAGCAUUUAUGCUUACAGUUGUUGUGCAUGUAUUUCAGGUACUAGCGAGGACCGUGGGAAGGCGCCGGCAUGAUCGAUACACACUGAAGAUUGUUUUAUGAUCUUGGGAGUUUGAAUAAUUGUAUUGACCGAAUAAUUAAACUGUUUAUGCCUUGUUUUUAAUGGAAAUAAUUAUGUUUUAAAAAUGAAAAAUUUGUUUGAAAAAUUUGAGUUGUUACAAUUGGUAUCAGAGCCUUGGUUUGAGGGAUUCGGGUGCACCUUCGGGGGUAACUGAACUCAAACCGAGGAUUUGAGGAAACUUUUCAAAUAAAGGCAUAAACUUUUGUAAAUGGUUUUGUGGUAAGCAAGAAAGAAGCAGUGUGUACGAUCAGUCAGCGCCCGAACGGUAAAGAUCCCCAAAAUACCUUACAAUAUUAUAUGAUAUGAAUUGUUAUGCAUGCUAGAAGACUAGGUAUUCAUGAUAGGACUAGAGUGGCCUGAUUUGUGAUGCCUUAGUCUAGGGAAGUUGCCUAUAUGAGAUGCUUUGCUAGUAUGCGGGUAGAUAGAGCGUAUCAGAAGUAGAGUACUCACUAUCUGGAGUUUGGGGAGGAGGACUUGGGAUGAACAUUGAUGCGGUGUGGUCGGUAGUAUUGGGCCCGUACUACCGAGGACACCGGGUCAGUGGGAGGCCCAAGUAAGAAUCCCUGGAUAUCUGGGACUGAGUAGGGUUGCGUGUCGAGUACGAUUAUACUCGGUAGAAUCUCUGAUAGUUUUAUGUUGUAUUUCAGAGAUAUCAUGGUUAGACCGCGGCACGGGGCAAGUACGAGCGGUGUGAGUGACGAGGAUAUUCGUCAGAUGAUCCACGAGGAGGUGGCGGCGGCGAUCCGGGCUGAGAUCCCGGAGAUGUUUGGGUCUAUCAAGACCACCCUGAUGGAGACGUUCGACGAGCGGUACGCCGCAUUGACUGAGGCUGCAACCGCUGCAGCUACCGCAGCUGUGGCCGCUGCUAGGCCACAGGGGGGUGAUUCAUUGCUGUUCCGAGAGUUCAGCAACACGAAGCCACCAGAGUUCGAUGGGACGCAGGAUCCGAUUGCUGCGAUGAGGUGGAUCGCAGAUAUAGAGGGGUGCUUCUAUACUUGUUCAUGCCCGGAGCACCUGAGGGUACGGUUCGCUUUGAACCAGCUCCGUCUGGGAGCGAAGGACUGGUGGAAGUUCGUGACAGCGAAUUUCACUUUGGCAGAGACUACAGCGGUGACAUGGGAGGGGUUUACUGCCAUGUUCAGGGAUGAGUACGUUCCCCCGGUGGAGAGGGAACGAUUGGUGCAGGAGUUCUUAACCCUCAAGCAGGGUACCGAUUCUGUUGCGGUGAUUACACGGAAGUUUCAUGAGAGGGCGAUGUUUUGCCCUGAGCUGGUGUCCUCAGAGCAGGCUCGGAUGAGCCGAUACUUGGGUGUCUUGAGGAGGGAUAUUCGGGAGUUUGUGUCAAACUCCACUUACCAUACUUUUGCUGAGCUUCAGGCGAAUGCCAGGAAGCGCGAGAUCGAGUUGGAGACCCAGGCUAGGGAGGAGGCCGAGUCUCAGCGGGUGGAUCGGCGACCGGCUCAGUUCCAGCCGGCAGCCAAGCGGACCAAGUCCGCUGAUUCGAGGACAGGAGGUUCGAAGGGUCGCACUUGCGGGAAGUGCGGCAAGAGUCAUGAUGGAGUAUGUCGAUCUGGUGCUUGCUACAAGUGUGGCAAGGAGGGGCACAUUGCUAGGGAGUGCCCCAAGGGAUUUUCGGUUUGCUUUCAUUGCAACCAGACUGGCCAUAGGAAGGCCGAGUGCCCUCAGCUUCUUCAGGGAUCUGCACCUGCUGCCGGAGUUACUGCGACUCGACCGGUGAAGGCCGAGGCCCCGAGGGCUCGGGGAAGAGCCUUUCAGCUGACAGCGGAAGAGGUCCGCGCUGCGCCCGAUGUUGUGGCAGGUAUGUUGUAAUUCAUGUAAUUAUUUUAAUGUCGAUAUGUUAUGCUUAUGUUAUUAUGCGCGUAGGUACUUUCCUUGUGAACUCUGUGCCUGCCUUAGUGUUAUUUGACUCGGGUGCGAGUAGGUCCUUUGUGUCCUUGGCCUUUAGUCAGCAUAUUGGCGUUAGUCGUGAGUCGUUGAGUCGACCUUUGAGAGUCUCUAUAGCUGACGAGAAGGUGAUUUGUGCUACGGAGGUUCUUCGGGGAUGUGUACUAGAGAUUUUCGGGGUUGGAUUCCCGAUUGACCUGAUUCCUAUCGCGAUGGGGGAUGUCUGUGUCAUCGUGGGCAUGGACUGGUUGAGCCGGUUCGGCGCUGUCAUCGACUGUGAGCGUCAGUUGGUGACUAUACGAGACCCAAGUGGGGGAGUUCUUUCGGUAUACGGCGAGGGUACCCGUUCGGGAUCAGCUUUUUGUUCGGCCGCUAGGGCGAGGCAGUGUCUACGUCAGGGCUGUAAGGGUUUCGUGGCGUAUGUGAUGGAUACGCGGGAGGUUUCUGAGAAACCGAAGUCAGUUGAGGAAGUUCCGGUGGUGCGCGAGUUUUCAGAUGUCUUUCCCGAGGAGUUGCCGGGAGUACCGCCUGUGAGGCAAGUAGAGUUUAGUAUCGAUCUGGUUCCGGGGGCAGCGCCUAUUGCCAAAGUGCCCUAUCGUCUUGCACCUCCAGAGAUGCAAGAGUUGUCCUCGCAACUCCAGGAGUUGCUGGGAAAGGGAUUCAUUCGGCCGAGCAGCUCGCCAUGGGGAGCACCUAUUCUGUUCGUCAAAAAGAAGGAUGGUUCACACCGGAUGUGCAUUGAUUACCGGGAGUUGAACAAGCUAACGGUCAAGAACCGUUACCCGUUGCCGAGGAUCGAUGAUUUAUUCGAUCAGUUGCAGGGAGCAUCUUGGUUUUCCAAGAUCGAUCUGAGGUCAGGAUACCAUCAGGUGAGAGUACGGGAUGAAGACGUCCAGAAGACAGCGUUUAGGACGCGAUAUGGGCAUUAUGAGUUUGUGGUGAUGCCUUUUGGACUCACCAAUGCCCCGGCUGUGUUCAUGGAUCUCAUGAACAGGGUAUGCAGGCCGAUGUUGGAUCGGUCGGUGAUCGUAUUUAUCGACGACAUUCUGGUGUAUUCGAGAUCGAGAGAGCAGCAUGAGGAGCAUUUGAGGGAGGUCCUUGAGGUAUUGAGGUCGGAGAAACUUUAUGCAAAGUUCUCCAAAUGUGACUUCUGGUUGCGGGAGGUCCAGUUUCUAGGACAUGUGGUUAAUCAGAAAGGGAUAUUGGUCGAUCCGGCCAAGGUUGAGGCGGUGAUGAGUUGGGAGGUGCCGAAGUCACCCUCUGAGAUCAGAAGUUUCCUUGGGUUGGCAGGGUAUUAUCGGAGAUUUAUCAAGGAUUUCUCCAAGAUCGCAGUGCCACUCACCAGAUUGACCCGGAAGGGUGUUACAUUCUCAUGGGGGCCCGAGCAGCAGACCUCCUUUGAGACACUUCGCCAGAGAUUGUGCGAAGCCCCGGUAUUAGCUCUUCCAGAAGGGAUGGAAGAUUUCGUGGUAUAUUGCGACGCAUCGAUUUCGGGAUUGGGUGCAGUGUUAAUGCAGAGGGGUCAUGUGAUAGCUUAUGCGUCGAGGCAGCUGAAGCCUCAUGAGGCGAGAUAUCCCACGCAUGAUUUAGAGUUGGGGGCAGUAGUGUUCGCUCUCAAGAUUUGGCGUCACUACUUGUAUGGGGUUCGAUGUACGAUAUACACGGACCAUAAGAGUUUGAAGUAUUUGAUGGAUCAACCCAACCUAAAUAUGCGUCAGAGGAGGUGGUUGGAUGUGGUCAAGGAUUAUGAUUGUGAGAUCCUGUACCACCCAGGCAAGGCUAAUGUGGUAGCCGAUGCAUUGAGUCGCAGGGCGGAGAGCACUCCAUUGCGAGACGUAUGCUUGAGACUGACUGUGAUGACUCCAGUAUUGGACGCUAUUCGUGGGGCCCAGGCGGAGGCUGUGCGACCAGAAAUGCAGAAGAAAGAGCGGGUUGUGGGGUUAAUCUCAGAGUUUGUCAAGGAUAGUCGAGGCCUUAUGACGUUUCAGGGUCGGAUUUGGGUACCGUUCGUGGGCGGUACGCGUAUUACGUUGAUGGAAGAGGCUCAUAGAUCGAAAUUCUCGAUCCAUCCCGGUGCUACAAAGAUGUAUUUGGAUUUAAGGAAGGAAUAUUGGUGGCCCUGUAUGAAGAGGGACGUGGCAUGGUUCGUUGAGAGGUGCUUGACCUGCCGUAGGGUUAAGGCUGAGCACCAGAGACCGCAUGGCAAGUUACAGCCAUUGGAGAUCCCCGAGUGGAAGUGGGAACAGAUUACUAUGGAUUUUAUCACCAAAUUGCCGAGGACUGCUAGGGGAGUUGACGCAAUUUGGGUGAUCGUGGAUAGGUUGACAAAGAGUGCACACUUCCUUGCCAUCAGUGAGAGUUCUUCGGCGGAGAAAUUGGCGGAGAUAUACGUGAGAGAGGUGGUAUCUCGGCACGGGGUGCCGAUCUCGAUUGUGUCAGACCGUGAUGUGCGCUUUACUUCCAGAUUCUGGAAGAAAUUCCAUGAGGAGCUGGGUACUAAAUUGCAUUUUAGUACCGCAUACCAUCCCCAGACAGACGGUCAGAGCGAGCGGACAAUUCAGACACUGGAGGACAUGCUCCGAGCGUGUGUGUUAGACUUCGGGGGUAGUUGGGAUGCGUAUUUACCAUUGGCAGAGUUUUCCUACAACAACAGCCAUCAUUCGAGCAUUGGUAUGCCGCCUUUCGAGCUGUUGUAUGGUAGGAGGUGUCGGACUCCCAUUUGCUGGGGAGAGGUGGGACAGAGAGUGAUGGGCAGCACGGAGAUCAUACUCCAGACGACAGAGCAGAUUCAACAAGUGAGACAAAGAUUAUUGACUGCCCAGAGCCGACAGAAGAGUUAUGCAGACAGGCGCCGAUCCGAGCUUGAAUUUCAAGUCGGCGACUUCGUUCUCCUGAAGGUCUCUCCUUGGAAAGGAGUGAUUCGGUUCAGGAAGAGAGGCAAGUUGGGGCCCCGGUAUAUUGGGCCAUUUCGUGUGAUUGCAAGGAUAGGUCGGGUAGCCUACCGGUUGGAGUUGCCAGCGGAGUUGGGUCAGAUCCAUGACACUUUUCAUGUGUCGCAGUUGAGGAAGUGCAUAGCCGAUGAGUCGGCAGUGGUUCCAUUGGAGGAUAUUCAGGUGGAUGCGAGCCUGAAUUACGCGGAGAGACCAGUGGCUAUCAGGGAUCGGAAGAUCAAGGUUCUGAGGAACAAGGAAGUACCUCUGGUGUUGGUUCAAUGGCAACACCGUAAGGGAUCAGAAAUGACUUGGGAACCGGAGCGCGAAAUGCGGGAGCAGCAUCCGGAACUAUUUGCAGAAUGAGACUUCGAGGGCGAAGUCUAAUCCAAGUGGGGGAGAAUUGUAACAGCCCGGAAUCUCAGGUAUUAUUAAAAUUAUGUUUUUGGGGUGAUUUAAGAGGGGACUCGGCGAGUUGGAGCCUAGACUCGCCGAGUAGGAUCGCGGACUUGGUCGCGGGUCCGCGACUGGACUCGACGAGUCCAGAUAUGGACUCGGCGAGUCGACGCUGUUCAGCAGAAACCCUAACCGUUCAGUUUGGAUCGUAUUUAACGCCUCUUAGGCCGUCAUUUUCAGUCUUUUGGUCAAUUGAGAGGAACCCUAAUCGCUGUGGACGCCUAGAGCAAGGGAGAAAGCUUUGGAACUUGGAAGAAUUGGUUAGGCAAGAAGAAGAGGGAUUUGGCUAAAGGAAUAUCAAGGAGGAUUGAGUCCUGAGAUUUGGGGGACACAGAGAGUGCGUUUUCAGGUAAUACUCGGACCAAAUCUGUUAUUUUGAUGUAUUUAUGAAAUUAGGGUUUAUAGAACCCAUUUAGUGAUUUGAUGAAGAAAUGCCUUGUUACCCCACGAUUAUAGUCUUGUAUUAGGACCUUUAGAGGUCCAGAAGGUCCCAUGCAUGUGUACUUCGGGACGAGACCUAUCUCAGGAAGCAGUUACUCGUCUGCAUGGCAUGGACUCGCCGAGUUGUUCUUCAGACUCGGCGAGUAGCUUGAAGAUGUGCUGGGACUCGCCGAGUUGUUCAUCAGACUCGGCGAGUGGAGUCGGGGUGGCCCCGCGAUUCUUCCACGAGGACCUCGUCGAGUCAAGAGGUAUACUCGACGAGUAGAAAGGGAAUAUUCAGGAAUCUGUGAGGACGACUAGACUCGCCGAGUCGCCAUGGUACUCGCCGAGUCCAGUCGAGUUGACCGUUGACCGGUGACCAGAGGUGACCUAAGUCUGACUUCUUAGGGAUAGUCACACUUAGAUGAUAUGAGUGUUAAUGAGUUAUGUAAUGUUAUAGGAGGGUUGUAGCUCGUUGGUUUGUGCGCAAGUGAUUUCAGGAGUUGCUAGCUUUCAGCACUUACGAGGUGAGUUUUCUCACUAUACUGUACCCGGAAGGGUUUGACUGUGUGACCGGAAGGUCGAAUAUGUUAUGUGGUAUGUAUGUUAUAUGUGGUAAGUUAAGUGUUAUAAGGAUAUGUAUGCUAUAUGUGGUAAGUUAAGUGUUAUAUGUGCUAUGUAUGAUAUGUGGGCCGGAAGGCAAUAUGUUAUGGGCCGGAAGGCGAUUAUGUUAUGGGCCGGAAGGCGUUGUAAUGAGGACCAGAAGGUCAGGGCCUGGAAAGGCGUAUGUGUGUAAGUGUAUAUUGGGGAACUCACUAAGCAUUUAUGCUUACAGUUGUUGUGUAUGUAUGUAUUUCAGGUACUAGCGAGGACCGUGGGAAGGCGCCGGCAUGAUCGAUACACACUGAAGAUUGUUUUAGGAUCUUGGGAGUUUGAAUAAUUGUAUUGACCGAAUAAUUAAACUAUAUAUAUGCCUUGUUUUUAAUGAAAAAUAUU
rnacentral:lncRNA from 1 species